rnacentral:lncRNA from 1 species
UGAAUAACAAGAAAGUAGUAAUGGAGAAGCUGAAAGAGCAGAGACUAGAAUAACACCAACAACCAAUGCUUUGCUACUCUUAUCAGAGAUAUGUAGCAAGAUGAUCUUCAAACCGGGAAGGUAUUCUUAAAGAAGACGAGUCCACUUGUCGAUGAAGAAGAAGAAGAGUGCACGGUAGCUGUGAAGCUAAUGUUAUCAGAGACUACUUGGAUCUUGCAUCUGGUUGAGGCUACCUUCUCAAGCUGUUGAAAUCCGUUUGAUACUAUCUCCAGAUCACUGUCAAACGGAGUAUCAUAGUAUAACACCACUUCUUCAAGAUUCGGCAUUGUUUGCACGAAGUGGUUGAUCAGAUCCGACUGCUUAUCCAUGUCAUCCUUAUAAUUAGUGAUCUCUCCAAACUUCAACACCUUCAGCUUCUUCACAGGACUUGAUGAUAGCCAACUCGGAGUGCCUAACCAAGGUUUGCAUACACACCUGUCCGCACCCUUGACAAAACAUUCGUUUGUAUCUUUGAAACGGUAUCCAUCAUCAAAACAUUGGUUUGUGUCUCCGUAAUGGAGUCCCUGAAGUACAAUCAAGGAAAUUGUUAUUCUUCAGAACUUUAAAGUGUGUUUGAAAACAAAUGCAGUAAAAGGAUUUGAGAUGGUACUUCGAAAACAAGGGUUUCUAGAUUAGGACAAUUCUUGAGCAGGUUCGGCAAUGAUUCCCAAUCCACGUCUUGGUCAGUCUCAAUGGUUAAAUGAAUAAGGUUGUUGAAGACUGGUAUUGCUUUACAGCAGAAAGUAAGGACCUGAAACAACAACAAGUAACAAGAACAUGGUUCACAUGUUUAAUUCUUACAACUUACAAAGAAACUAAGAACACAUAGAUGAGAUUGGUAUAUGCUAACCUCAAGAGCCUGGGACGAUAGGUAAAGGAUCUUAACAUGACUUAUUCCCAUGAGAAAAUCUGUUGCACUUACGUCUUUCCUUAGCUUAUAGCCGUAAUGUCGGUUUACUAGAUCUCUUCCGCGAAAGACCUGACCAGGUGUCAUCCUAAUGCCUACGCUAGCUUCAACAAGCGAAUCAAGAUUCAUUUUUGGAUACUUGGCCGCAACAGUAUCAGUUAAUUCUAAGUAGACCAGACUUGGAGUGUCCAAAGACACACUCUCUGGAUUCUCCUCAUCGUACUCACAAUAGAUUAUCAGUCUCUUGAGAGUUGGGUUUGAGACAGAGCAAGCGCCACAAAAGUCCCACGUCAUUUUAACCAUAACCAACUCCUCAAGAACGUGACAACCAGAAACUAGCUUCCCAAACGCAGCACCACUCUCGUCAGCGAAAGAAACGUCAUUCAUAUGCAAAGUCUUGAGCUUUGGAAGUGAAACUUCUCUGACAUCAAUGAUGAACUCAUCUGUACCAGCUAGUUUAAGCUUAACCAACGUCUUGCUCAUCAAAACCUGUGGAGGCAAAGGAUACUCGUGUUCCGAAGAGAUGUACAGAUCAAGAUCAACUACACCACGCUCCAAUGCUUUGAGUACCCAACGGUUGACGCGAGAUGUAACACAAGCAAUUUUACACCUUAGAGAGAAUUUGUUCAACGGAGCGUUCCCUUGCAAGGCCAUGACUCUUUCCACAAAAAGCUUGAAGCUUUUACGCAAAUGGCGCCUUCUCUUUCUACCCAUUUUAGGACGGUCGUAGAUGGUGUUGUCAAGAUCGAGAUUUGUUACGAAAGCGAGAAGAUGUCUCCACCUUUUCGAGAGGACUGAGGUCAAAGCUGCAUCUUUUGUGGAGAGGAAGGAUAAGAUGUGGCAGAUGAUUGCGUCUGGUAGGCUGCUGAUCAAGUCUUUGGAGCCAGUAUCCAUCUUUUUCGAGUUCAUUGGAGACGAGUCAGAGAGUUGUGACCUGUGGAUGAAGAAACGAGGCUUGUGUAAGUAAUUAGACAAAACACACAGCAGUGGUUUGUGUUGUGCUCAAAUGCAGAAUCUGAGAACUGAGAAUCAAUAAACAUUGAGCUUGAAGCUGGGAACUUACAGAGGUUUGAAUGCUUGAAGGGGGAAAGGAAACUAGGGUUUAUGCCAUUGUCGCGGAGAGUGAAGUUGUGCUCCGUGUUGAGUCCCGACGCUGUUCGGUCGUAGAUGAGUUCAUUAGAUCUUUUCUAACUGGGCUUUGAUAUGUUGUAAAUUGUUGGCCUGAGCUUAUGUCUUUCAUCUUUGUAUUGGGCCACAGUUCUGAUCCCUUUGUUGUCUUAGCAAAAAUGAAAGAUUUUUUAGUUCUUAUGUAUUACUGGCCAAAACCCGCACUACGCCGCGGAAUAUUAUAACAUUAGUGUAAGAUUUUCAUGCUUAAACGGAACUGACUUCGAAUUAAACUGUUACUUUUUUCCCAAUAAAAAUGAAAACAACACAGUUCGAAUCAUCAGACUUAGAAGCAAGAUGGCUUGUCCCAACUUGCUAAGUAAUUGCAACUUUCUCUCUAUCUCUAGAAAGCUUCUUUCCAAACAUAAUAUAAUACUUCUUCCGUUUCCGAAAGAAAGAUUUUCUAGAGUAUUCACAUAUAUUAAGAAUAUAAUAAAUAUUUACAAUUGAAUUUAUUAUUUAUUUUACUAUACAUUUUUCAAUAAAUAUCAACCAAUAGUGUUCAACCAAUUCAAAUAUUUUCUAUUAAUAUUUCUUAAAAGUAUACAAUUUUUCAACAUUAACUACUAAAAGUACCUUAAAAUUUUAGAAAAUCUAUCAUUUUGGAACAAAAAAUAAAUCUAAAAAAUCCUACUUUCAGAAACAGAAGGAAAUAGAAGGAGUGUGUGUUUUAUCCCCUUCGUCUACUUGGCUUUAACUGUCAUUUGAUAAUAUAAACUACAUCUUCGAAAAACUCCUAGCAUUAGUGUUUCAAAUGCACUUGGCAGAAGAUUUAUCGGCACUUCUUCUAUCAUCCUCCUACCCUGAAGUUGGUGUUUCUGCUGUAAACAUAAGUGUCUCUUCCUUAAACGAUAUAGAAAAUUUAUAAAUUCUAAAAUGUAAAAACAUUAACAUAUUUUAUAAAUAUUAAUGCACUUGUUUUGACUAUUCGUACACCAUCUUGUACCAGCAAGCACAUAUGGUCAUCACACAAAUAUCCCUAGCCAAAUCAUCAUUCUGAUUUCUGAUCUUUUAGAAUAAAUACACAUAUUUUUUUUUGCAAAUUUGCAUCAUCUUGAAAUGCAUCAGUUUUGGUUAGUCUAUUAAUAAUAACACUGUAUAUAUGACCAAACACUAAAGUUUCACAAUGCACUUUAAAAAAAAAAAACAUAAACUGAAAUAGUGAAAAGUCUAACUACUUUACUCAGAGACCUAAAAUAUAUUUUUUUUGUAAUCCUCAGAGACCUAACAUUUUCGCCAUAUUCAUUUCAAACAUCCCCUAUAUAUUAAUUGAAGAUCUUUUAAAAAGUUAUAACCUGAAUUUUGUAAAAAUUAAAAAAAAUUCAUCUUAUGCGGCAGUUGUGUAUGCCUUCUAAAUCCUAUUUCAAAGAAUUCUAGAGCAUUUUAUCUAAACUAUAGUCUAAAAAUUAUACUCUCUAGCAAAAUAAUAUUUUGCAGACUAUAGUUGGUCGCAUAUAUCAAAUCUUCAUUGUUUCGCAGACUUUCCUUAAAUAAAACCUACGAAAUUACCUAAUGUGAUUAAAAUAUAUAUAUAGCAAUUAAUGAUUUUAAACAAUAAAGAUUUGAUAACAAUUUGUAUACUUUUUAUCAUUUUUGUUUAUUUCCUUAUUAUUAAAAUAAAUUAAAUAAUUACAUUAAUCAUAUAAUAAAAAUUUUGAUUUUUUUUAUAUGUUGUAUUUUGAAUUUUUCAAAAUGAGUAUAAAUUACUAAAACUAUUAAAAGUCUCACAUAAACUUUUAUGAUCAAAGUUUAAAUUUUUUUCUAUAUUAAGAUACAAUGAUUUUUUUUUUGCCAUCAACAAACGAUCACUAGCUGAAGCCAUUAUAACAACAAUGCUAUACUAAAAAGGUUGUAGAGAAAAGAUGUGAUUGACAUACAAACCUCAAGUGUUUUGGCAGAUAGAUAUAAGAUCUCAACAUUGCAUAAUCCAAAAAGAAAAUUUGUUGCAUUACCAACCAUCUCCUUCUCCUCCUCUUCAUACUCUUCAGAGAAAUAGCCAUCUUCUUCAGAAAAGUCUGCAUCUGCACUUUGAUCUUCAGAGAGUCGAAGGCCGAUAUGAGCUUCAACAAGCGAACUGAAAUUAACCUUAGGAUACUCUCUCGCAAUAUUAUCAGAAUAUUCCAAGUACUCAAGGCUUGGAGUAUCAAACGCAACGCUCAUUGGAUUCUCAUCAAAGUCAUCCAAGAAGAUCGUUAGCCUCUUGAGGGUUGUGACAGAAACAGAGCAAAACUCCCAGUUUUCCCACCCCAUAUUCGUGAGAACCAACUCCUCAAGCACGGGACAGCCAGAGAGAAGCCUCGCAAACCCAACACCUUCUUCUUCAAACACAACGGAAUCAAUAUCAAGAAUCUUAAGCUUUGGAAGAAACACAUCUUCAACAUCAGCGCUGAAAGCGACAUCAUGUCCCUCUCCUAGUUUCAACCUAACCAGUGUCUUGCUAACAAAGAUCUCAUGAGGCAAGGGAUACUCCGAGAGGAGGCGUAGAUCAAGAUCGGAAACGCUGUGUCCCAACGCAUGUAGUAUCCAAACAGUGACGUGAACUGAAUCAGGAUUAUCAGUUAAGCUCAGAGAGAAUCUGUUUAAAGGAGCAGUCCCUUGGAGAUCCAAUAACAUAUCAACAAACUCCAUGAAACUUGGACUGUUGCCGUUGCUUUUAAAAUCAAGAUUUGUCACAGAGGCAAACAAAAAGCGCCACCUUUUAGAGAGAACUGAUGUGGAAGCUGCUUCUUUUGUCGGAAGGAAAGACAAGAUGUGGGAGAUGAUAGGAUCUGGCAGACCGCUGAACAUAUCUUUCGAGACAAAAUCCAAUGUUUCUUUCGAACAGAACUUACAACCUACAAUAACAAAACACGAGAUUCUCAAACUGAAAACAGUUACAAAGGCUUGUCUUUUACACAUAUCGCAAGUGGAAGAAGAAGAAACUUACUUGGAGGCCACCAAGACGAACUUGAAACUGAAAAAGUAGGGUUUUUUCAAUUGUCUAUCGUUGCUUUCUAAUGAGAGAUACGAGCAAUGUGGCGGGAUGGGUGGCUUCCAAAGUCGAACGAUGUCGUAUAAGUGGUGGUAGCACUCACCGCUCAGAAACGACACAGUAUAGGUGACCAAUGUGAUUAGAGACUGUAGAACGCAUACUAUGAGAAGCUGAGACAGCAAGACAAUGAUGGAGAAAAACAAAGCAUAAAAGCAGAAUUCUUUUUGAACAACAAACAUAACAGAGAAGGUUCCUUGGAGUGUAGCAAACUUUACAAAGACAUGAAUAACAAGAAAGUAGUAAUGGAGAAGCUGAAAGAGCAGAGACUAGAAUAACACCAACAACCAAUGCUUUGCUACUCUUAUCAGAGAUAUGUAGCAAGAUGAUCUUCAAACCGGGAAGGUAUUCUUAAAGAAGACGAGUCCACUUGUCGAUGAAGAAGAAGAAGAGUGCACGGUAGCUGUGAAGCUAAUGUUAUCAGAGACUACUUGGAUCUUGCAUCUGGUUGAGGCUACCUUCUCAAGC